UACGGAGGGUACGAGCGUUGUCCGGAAUUACUGGGCGUAAAGGGCGCGUAGGCGGCCUGAUAAGUCGGGGGUGAAAGUCAGCGGCUCAACCGCUGGACUGCCUUCGAGACUGUCGGGCUCGAGCAUGGUAGAGGCUGGCGGAAUUCCCGGUGUAGCGGUGGAAUGCGUAGAGAUCGGGAAGAACAUCGGUGGCGAAGGCGGCCAGCUGGGCCAUUGCUGACGCUGAGAAGCGAAAGCAUGGGGAGCGAACAGG
rnacentral:rRNA from 1 species